AGAGAGAGACAUGCGCGCAUAUCAAUAAGCGGAGGAAAAGAAACUAACAAGGAUUCCCUUAGUAACGGCGAGUGAAGCGGGAAGAGCUCAAAUUUGAAUCUUCAAGGUUUUACCUUGACGAAUUGUAGUUUAAAGAAGUGUUUUCUGCUGAAGUUUUGGUAAAAGUUCUUUGGAAUAGGACAUCAUAGAGGGUGAGAAUCCCGUAUUUGACCAUUAUUUUCAGCUUUGUGAUACACUUUCAAAGAGUCGGAUUGUUUGGGAAUGCAGUCCAAAAUGGGUGGUAAAUUUCAUCUAAAGCUAAAUAUUGGCGAGAGACCGAUAGCGAACAAGUACCGUGAGGGAAAGAUGAAAAGAACUUUGAAAAGAGACGUUAAACAGUACGUGAAAUUGUCAAAAGGGAAGCGUUUGACACCAGUGUUGUUUUCUCGAAAAUCAAUUAAAAAUGGCUCGAUUUUGUAUUGCUUGAGACCUUAAAAGCUCACUGUACAUUUUUCGUGUCUUUUUUAAUGCACUUUUCGUUUAACAAGUCAACAUCAGUUUCUUUUGUUGUAAAAGGGUCAUUGGAAGGUGGCUUUCCUUUCGGAGAAAGUGUUUAUAGCCUUUGGCCUCUGCAAUCGGAGAGACUGAGGUCUGCAGCGUAGACUCUUCGGGGUUAGAUACAUUUGUGCUAAGUUAUAGCUUUUUAUAGACAACUUGUUGACUAUAAUUAGUCUUGUAGCUUACUCGCUUAUGCUAUUUUACCUACGCUUAGGAUGUUGAAGUCAUCGUAUCGCGC
rnacentral:rRNA from 1 species